ACGCGUUAAAUCGACCGCCUGGGGAGUACGGCCGCAAGGUUAAAACUCAAAUGAAUUGACGGGGGCCCGCACAAGCGGUGGAGCAUGUGGUUUAAUUCGAUGCAACGCGAAGAACCUUACCUGGUCUUGACAUCCACAGAACUUGCCAGAGAUGGCUUGGUGCCUUCGGGAACUGUGAGACAGGUGCUGCAUGGCUGUCGUCAGCUCGUGUUGUGAAAUGUUGGGUUAAGUCCCGCAACGAGCGCAACCCUUAUCCUUUGUUGCCAGCGGUUAGGCCGGGAACUCAAAGGAGACUGCCAGUGAUAAACUGGAGGAAGGUGGGGAUGACGUCAAGUCAUCAUGGCCCUUACGACCAGGGCUACACACGUGCUACAAUGGCGCAUACAAAGAGAAGCGACCUCGCGAGAGCAAGCGGACCUCAUAAAGUGCGUCGUAGUCCGGAUUGGAGUCUGCAACUCGACUCCAUGAAGUCGGAAUCGCUAGUAAUCGUAGAUCAGAAUGCUACGGUGAAUACGUUCCCGGGCCUUGUACACACCGCCCGUCACACCAUGGGAGUGGGUUGCAAAAGAAGUAGGUAGCUUAACCUUCGGGAGGGCGCUUACCACUUUGUGAUUCAUGACUGGGGUGAAGUCGUAACAAGGUAACCGUAGGGGAACCUGCGGUUGGAUCACCUCCUUACCUUAAAGAA
rnacentral:rRNA from 1 species